UACGAAGGGGGCUAGCGUUGCUCGGAAUUACUGGGCGUAAAGGGCGCGUAGGCGGCCAGAUUAGUCAGGCGUGAAAGCCCUGGGCUCAACCUGGGGACUGCGCUUGAUACGGUUUGGCUUGAGGACGGAAGAGGCUCGCGGAAUUCCCAGUGUAGAGGUGAAAUUCGUAGAUAUUGGGAAGAACACCGGUGGCGAAGGCGGCUCACUGGCUCAUAUCUGACGCUCAGGCGCGACAGCGUGGGGAUCAAACAGG
rnacentral:rRNA from 1 species